rnacentral:rRNA from 1 species
ACGGAGGAUGCAAGCGUUAUCCGGAUUUAUUGGGUUUAAAGGGUGCGUAGGCGGGUUGAUAAGUCAGUGGUGAAAUCCUGCAGCUUAACUGUAGACUUGCCGUUGAUACUGUCAGUCUUGAGUAUGGUCAAGGUAGGCGGAAUGUGUAAUGUAGCGGUGAAAUGCUUAGAUAUUACACAGAACACCGAUCGCGAAGGCAGCUUACUAGGCUAUAACUGACGCUGAUGCACGAAAGCGUGGGGAUCGAACAG